AAAAUACUAGUAAUAAAUAUUACAUUGCCUUGUCAAGGCAAAAUUGUAGGUUAAACCCCUGCGUGUUUUA
rnacentral:tRNA from 1 species